UAUUGCGGUCAAACCGGAGGGGCAGCCCUUGGGGAAGAGGGAGACGUCCAAUCGGAUAUUGGGUGGAGGACUGCGGAGCACUAGUAGUCUGGGUAACUGUGGCGAAAAGAAAAUCGGGGGCAGUUUGGCACUCUCGGUGAUUGAACAGAGAAACUGAAGAUUCCGAGUGCUGAUACUGCUACUGGCAGGAACACCUUACUGAAGGUUGAGGUGCAGUGUGAGGUAAAGAAAAUAGUAAUUGAUUCCAGCACAUACUAUUGAAGAAAAGCUGAAUAACUUUUGUGCCAAGUGGCCACAGUUAAAAUGGAUACAAGUAUGCUUUAUACUAUAUGUUAAUUGCUGUUACUUUGUUGCAAUUUUGUCAAUAGAUGGCGCUGUUUUUACUUGUUUAAAAGGAAAUCUUUGUGACCAGGUGUGUUAGCUUGAUAAAGAGCCAGAGAUGGCUUGAAACGUUGCUAUUGUUGGUCUGUGCCAUGAUUAAAUAAAGGCCUUUUAUCUUAUCAA